rnacentral:rRNA from 1 species
AUCUGUGAGACGUGAGGGGCCUGAAUGUUAGAAACAGAAGCCACAAAACAGACGCGAGAACAUUUUCUCUAUCCACUCCGGAGAAAAAAAAGAGAAGCAACCGAACGAGAACAAAAGCGAAACCAAAACAGCCGAGCUGAUUGGAAACAUCCAGAUGCCGCUGCUGCUAACCCAACCCAAACCCAGCGUUUCCCCUCAUCAUUUCUAGCGCCUAAUCAAGGACCCUUGGUUAGUUGCUCGCGGAAUCAUAUUCAUACCCACCAUUGGAGCAGCAAGCGAGAGAGGGGAGCGAAGAAGAAGAGCAGCCAGAAGAGAACGCAAGCGAGGAAGGGAGAGAGAGGCGAAGGUUCGCCGGAGGUGGACGUUGGGAGCCCGGCGGAAAUCGCCCGGAGCGAUUGAGGCGCGGAUUCUCCCCGGGCGGCCUGGUUCCCGGCGGUCGGAUCGAAGCGGCCCUCAAUCUCGGAGGACCUCGAUUCGAUUCGGCGGCGCGGGCCGUGCAGCUGUUGAUUAAUCCAUUUGGCUCCAUGGAUGGACAGGGCUGUGACGUGAUCUCCUCGCAUGGUUCAUCCUAGGUCCCUGGUUGCUUGCUCAGGCUCCAAGUUCUGUGUCAUCUCCAGUUGCGGUAGCCAGGAGAGCACGAUUAGUAGUGGCAAGAUGGUAACCUUGCUUCCAAUGGAUCUGAAUCGGAAAUGCCGGUGUGGUUCUGCCCUUCCGGUGGUGAUAGGUUUCAAUUGGUGAUUUGUCUAGGCAUUGAUUUGGACACUGAAAUGGCAAGAUACUGAGAGGGCCGUUGAAAGGAACUGGAUAGGUGUACUGCAGGAUCAAUUACAAAUUGGGGGUCUUCCUUUUCGCUGAGUAUCAGAGAUUAGUUGCGAUGGGUUUACCCCAAGUUUCUUCAGUCAGGGAGGAUGUCUCUACAGGAUCGAGGACACCUGUGUCAAGCCCCUCGCGUACCAAUGGUGUUGGUGCCUGCGAUUUGGAUGGGCUUCCUCGAGAAAGCUCAAAUGGCAAGGCUUCAUAUCGAUCGAUUGGCAAUUUCAGUAGACAGACUGCAUCAGAUUCCCCGGAUGAAUCAAACGGGUAUUUUAGAGACAGCCAUGCGUUUGAUGGACUCACAGACUUCCAAGGAUUAAGAAUUGAUGAUUUUAGAGAUGCAAAUUCUAGAUCUUCUCAUAAAUUGCAGCCCGCUGUCCAUAUGCCCACAACCCUUGUUGUGGGCUUUGAAUCAAACUGUGUUGGAGGUCCUGAUACAGCAGAACUGGAUACAAUCUGUCCAUCUGUGGCCAGUCAUAAUUUUGGUUCACCAUGUGAUCAGCAUGAACUUCAGGCAAGGAAAAGACUGCUGUCUCCGUUGAAAAAUGUGCUCUCUAGAAAGUUUCAUGGUGAUUCACUGAAUAUUGCUUCUGGUGAUGCUAGAUUUCAGCAUUCUGAGCCAGGUAAGAAACUCUACAGUUCUGGCUUCCAAGAUAAUAAAAUGGUAAACACCGGAAGCCUCAGUUCUUUUGAGUCACAGGCAUGUCCGACCCCUAGAUGGUCCAGUCGGACUUCAGAAUUUGAUGUCAAUAGGAUUAAUUCUAAUCAUUUCACUGAUGUCCCUUUACUUGGGAACAAGGACUCGUUAUCCUAUUAUGAUCAUCUAGCUGCCAGUGCAAAAUUAGCACACUCUCCGCUCUCACUGUCUCCUCUCAGCCCUAGACGUAUUCAUAAAGUCAAAACUACAGGAUCUCCAAGGCAUGUAAUGAAAGAUAUUGAAAAUGAUUUCCUAGAUUUGAAGGAACAGGGAGGAUUUGAUGGAAUUAGGAUGCUAGAUGUGGUAGAGGAAACUAACAGAUUACAUGAUGAAUAUGAUAUUAUGACCCCUAAAAGAAGUUCAUGUAGAAGAUAUCAAAACUGGGGUUCUGAAUCUUCACCCACGUCUCCGCGAGUUGGUUAUGGACGGAGUUUGAGUCUCCCUGCAAGGAGGUCACUAGUUGUCUCCUUUGAGGAAUCCCUUUUGUCUGGCCGACUUUCUUAUGGAAAAGAUAAUCAGACAAUUGAUGGUUUCUUAGCUGUCCUGAAUAUUGUUGGCGGUAGCUUCUCUCCCCCAACUCAGAAACUUCCAUUUGCAGUAGCAAGCAUCGGCGAGGAUAGCUCCUUAUUGUACUAUUCUUCUAUUGAUCUUGCUGGUAGAUUGUCCACAAGUGCAACCAACAGCAAUAGCCCAAAACUCCAAAGAAGCCUUAGUAACAAUGAUUCAAGAUCAGCAAAGAGUCGCUUACGCAUCCCUGCUAAGGGGCGCAUACAACUGGUUGUGAGCAACCCUGAGAAGACCCCACUCCACACAUUCUUCUGCAACUACGACUUGACUGACAUGCCAUCUGGAACCAAGACGUUCAUGCGGCAAAAGGUCACUCUGUCUCCCACUGUUUCUCCCUCUAAUACAGUGAAAGAAGAAAGCAAGACCAGUGACACAAAUGUUGGCCCGAAGGCUCAGUGUGUCUCAUGUGGGAGUGAACUUGCACAACGAGGAACUCUAUGCUUGGAAUACUGCGGGCAGGGACGGACGUGCAACUCAGCUGAGGAAUCAGAAAAGAGACGCACAAACACAAAAUGUUACUCAUCGGGCACUGACAUGAAGGAAUCAGAUAAACCCAAUUCUCUUGGGAAUAAGCAAAACAAUACUGAUUCUGAUGAUUGUUGCUGUCAGAUGGACAACGUGCACUCAGGUGCGAAGAAAUCAUGUUGUGCGUCUUCCAGGAUCAAUGACAGUUCAGGUGGAGGCGUGCUCCGCUAUGCUUUGCACCUGCGGUUUCUCUGCCCCGCCUCGAAAAAAUCCUCAAAAUCUAUGCUACGUUGCAAAUCCGAUCCAUCAUCUGUACCACAGAGCGGCAAUAUGGUGACUGAGGAUAGGAGAUUCUAUCUCUACAACGAUCUUAGAGUUGUAUUUCCUCAGAGGCACUCAGAUGCGGAUGAAGGCGAGCUGAAGGUGGAACAUGACUUCCCUGCUGAUCCCAAGUACUUCGACAUAAGCAACUGAAAAAUUGCUUUUGCUGUCAUGUAUAGCCUGUGCUGCGGCGCACCGAUAAGCGAAAACUCUGUACAUAUUUAUUCCACUAAUUUGCCACCAGUCCCCAAAAUGUACAGGUUUUAUCUUCCAAUAAAAUGCCUCAUUUUAGUUGUUACUUUCUGUAUUUCUGCUUCUGCCUUUUGAAACUUUUUAGGGUCAUCGUCCAUAUGUCUGUAGUACUCCCUCCGUCCCGAAUUACUUGUCUUAUAUACGAAUAUCCAUAUCUAGACAAUCUAAGACAGGUAAUUUGGGACAGAGGAAAUACAAUAUUCCAGAUCAUGAAGUAUUGUGUAUCGU